rnacentral:rRNA from 1 species
AAGUCGAACGCUUUGUCUUUAACUGAUCUGACGAGCUUGCUCUGAUUUGAUUCCAUUUGACAAAGAGUGGCGAACGGGUGAGUAACACGUGGGUAACCUACCUCUUAGCAGGGGAUAACAUUUGGAAACAAGUGCUAAUACCGUAUAAUACCAACAACCGCAUGGUUGUUGGUUGAAAGAUGGUUCUGCUAUCACUAAGAGAUGGACCCGCGGUGCAUUAGCUAGUUGGUAAGGUAACGGCUUACCAAGGCAAUGAUGCAUAGCCGAGUUGAGAGACUGAUCGGCCACAAUGGGACUGAGACACGGCCCAUACUCCUACGGGAGGCAGCAGUAGGGAAUCUUCCACAAUGGGCGCAAGCCUGAUGGAGCAACGCCGCGUGUGUGAUGAAGGGUUUCGGCUCGUAAAACACUGUUAUAAGAGAAGAACGGCACUGAGAGUAACUGUUCAGUGUGUGACGGUAUCUUACCAGAAAGGAACGGCUAAAUACGUGCCAGCAGCCGCGGUAAUACGUAUGUUCCAAGCGUUAUCCGGAUUUAUUGGGCGUAAAGCGAGCGCAGACGGUUAUUUAAGUCUGAAGUGAAAGCCCUCAGCUCAACUGAGGAAUGGCUUUGGAAACUGGAUGACUUGAGUGCAGUAGAGGAAAGUGGAACUCCAUGUGUAGCGGUGAAAUGCGUAGAUAUAUGGAAGAACACCAGUGGCGAAGGCGGCUUUCUGGACUGUAACUGACGUUGAGGCUCGAAAGUGUGGGUAGCAAACAGGAUUAGAUACCCUGGUAGUCCACACCGUAAACGAUGAGUGCUAGAUGUUCGAGGGUUUCCGCCCUUGAGUGUCGCAGCUAACGCAUUAAGCACUCC